GAUGAACGCUAGCGGCAGGCUUAACACAUGCAAGUCGAGGGGUAUAGUAGCAAUACUAGAGACCGGCGCACGGGUGCGUAACGCGUAUGCAAUCUACCUUUUACAGAGGGAUAGCCCAGAGAAAUUUGGAUUAAUACCUCAUAGCAUUGCGAAAUGGCAUCAUUUUGCAAUUAAAGUCACAACGGUAAAAGAUGAGCAUGCGUCCCAUUAGCUAGUUGGUAAGGUAACGGCUUACCAAGGCAACGAUGGGUAGGGGUCCUGAGAGGGAGAUCCCCCACACUGGUACUGAGACACGGACCAGACUCCUACGGGAGGCAGCAGUGAGGAAUAUUGGACAAUGGGCGCAAGCCUGAUCCAGCCAUGCCGCGUGCAGGAUGACGGUCCUAUGGGUUGUAAACUGCUUUUGUACGGGAAGAAACACCACUACGCGUAGUGGCUUGACGGUACCGUAAGAAUAAGGAUCGGCUAACUCCGUGCCAGCAGCCGCGGUAAAG
rnacentral:rRNA from 1 species